rnacentral:rRNA from 1 species
AGCGAACGUUAGCGGCGCGCCUAACACAUGCAAGUCGCACGAGGUAGCAAUACCUAGUGGCGCACGGGUGCGUAACACGUAGAUAAUCUGCCCUUCAGCGGGGGAUAACGUUCCGAAAGGAGCGCUAAUACCGCAUACAGCAUUUGGUGGUUCGCCACUGGAUGGCAAAGGCUGGGAUCUUCGGACCAGUCACUGAAGGAGGAGUCUGCGGCCCAUCAGCUAGUUGGGGAGGUAAUGGCUCACCAAGGCAAAGACGGGUAGCUGGUCUGAGAGGAUGAUCAGCCACACUGGUACUGGAACACGGACCAGACUCCUACGGGAGGCAGCAGUGGGGAAUCUUGGUCAAUGGGCGCAAGCCUGAACCAGCGACGCCGCGUGAGUGAUGAAGGCCUUCGGGUUGUAAAGCUCUGUGGGGAGAGACGAAAGAAUCGGUUCUAACAGGACCGAAGUUGACGGUAUCUCCUUAGCAAGCACCGGCUAACUCUGUGCCAGCAGCCGCGGUAAGACAGAGGGUGCAAACGUUGCUCGGAA